rnacentral:rRNA from 1 species
CAGUAGCCGCGGGAAUACGGAGGGAGCUAGCGUUGUUCGGAAUUACUGGGCGUAAAGCGCGCGUAGGCGGUUACUCAAGUCAGAGGUGAAAGCCCGGAGCUCAACCCCGGAACUGCCUUUGAAACUAGGUGACUAGAAUCUUGGAGAGGUCAGUGGAAUUCCGAGUGUAGAGGUGAAAUUCGUAGAUAUUCGGAAGAACACCAGUGGCGAAGGCGACUGACUGGACAAGUAUUGACGCUGAGGUGCGAAGGCGUGGGGAGCAAACAGGAUUAGAUACCCGUGUAGUCCCUGUCUCUUAUAC